rnacentral:rRNA from 1 species
GACGAACGCUGGCGGCGUGCCUAACACAUGCAAGUCGAACGAAGUGGCGAACGGGUGAGUAAUGCGUAAUCAACCUGCCCUUCAGAGGGGGACCACCGUUGGAAACGAUUGCUAAUACCGCAUACUCAAGGAGGGGAUUGCGUCUGAUUAGCUAGUUGGAGGGGUAACGGCCCAACAAGGCGAUGAUCAGUAGCCGGUCUGAAGGGGUGAACGGCCAAAUUGGGACUGAGACACGGCCCAGACUCCUACGGGGGGCAGCAGUUGGGAAUCUGCCGCAAUGGACGAAAGUCUGACAGCGCAACGCCGCGUGAGUGAUGACGGCCUUCUGGUUGUAAAGCUCUGUUAAUCGGGACGCGGUACCGGAAUAGAAAGCCACGGCUAACUACGUGCCAGCAGCCGCGGUAAUUC